AUUGAACGCUGGCGGCAGGCUUAACACAUGCAAGUCGAACGAUGACUAACUAGCUUGCUAGUUAUGAUUAGUGGCGGACGGGUGAGUAACAUUUAGGAAUCUGCCUAGUAGUGGGGGAUAGCUCGGGGAAACUCGAAUUAAUACCGCAUACGACCUACGGGUGAAAGGGGGCGCAAGCUCUUGCUAUUAGAUGAGCCUAAAUCAGAUUAGCUAGUUGGUGGGGUAAAGGCCCACCAAGGCGACGAUCUGUAACUGGUCUGAGAGGAUGAUCAGUCACACCGGAACUGAGACACGGUCCGGACUCCUACGGGAGGCAGCAGUGGGGAAUAUUGGACAAUGGGGGCAACCCUGAUCCAGCCAUGCCGCGUGUGUGAAGAAGGCCUUUUGGUUGUAAAGCACUUUAAGCAGGGAGGAGAGGCUAAUGGUUAAUACCCAUUAGAUUAGACGUUACCUGCAGAAUAAGCACCGGCUAACUCUGUGCCAGCAGCCGCGGUAAUACAGAGGGUGCGAGCGUUAAUCGGAAUUACUGGGCGUAAAGCGAGUGUAGGUGGCUCAUUAAGUCACAUGUGAAAUCCCCGGGCUUAACCUGGGAACUGCAUGUGAUACUGGUGGUGCUAGAAUAUGUGAGAGGGAAGUAGAAUUCCAGGUGUAGCGGUGAAAUGCGUAGAGAUCUGGAGGAAUACCGAUGGCGAAGGCAGCUUCCUGGCACAAUAUUGACACUGAGAUUCGAAUGCGUGGGUAGCAAACAGGAUUAGAUACCCUGGUAGUCCACGCCGUAAACGAUGUCUACUAGCCGUUGGGGUCCUUGAGACUUUAGUGGCGCAGUUAAUGCGAUAAGUAGACCGCCUGGGGAGUACGGCCGCAAGGUUAAAACUCAAAUGAAUUGACGGGGGCCCGCACAAGCGGUGGAGCAUGUGGUUUAAUUCGAUGCAACGCGAAGAACCUUACCUGGUCUUGACAUAGUGAGAAUCCUGCAGAGAUGCGGGAGUGCCUUCGGGAAUUCACAUACAGGUGCUGCAUGGCUGUCGUCAGCUCGUGUCGUGAGAUGUUGGGUUAAGUCCCGCAACGAGCGCAACCCUUUUCCUUAUUUGCCAGCGGGUUAAGCCGGGAACUUUAAGGAUACUGCCAGUGACAAACUGGAGGAAGGCGGGGACGACGUCAAGUCAUCAUGGCCCUUACGACCAGGGCUACACACGUGCUACAAUGGUAGGUACAGAGGGUUGCUACACAGCGAUGUGAUGCUAAUCUCAAAAAGCCUAUCGUAGUCCGGAUUGGAGUCUGCAACUCGACUCCAUGAAGUCGGAAUCGCUAGUAAUCGCAGAUCAGAAUGCUGCGGUGAAUACGUUCCCGGGCCU
rnacentral:rRNA from 1 species